rnacentral:rRNA from 1 species
UGGCCUCAGGACGAACGCUGGCGGCGCUGCCUAACACAUGCAAGUCGAGCGAUUCUCUUCGGAGAAGAGCGGCGGACGGGUGAGUAACGCGUGGGUAACCUGCCCUGUACACACGGAUAACAUACCGAAAGGUAUGCUAAUACGGGAUAAUGUACUUUUGUCGCAUGGCAAAAGUAUCAAAGCUCCGGCGGUACAGGAUGGACCCGCGUCUGAUUAGCUAGUUGGAGAGGUAAUGGCUCACCAAGGCAACGAUCAGUAGCCGACCUGAGAGGGUGAUCGGCCACAUUGGAACUGAGACACGGUCCAGACUCCUACGGGAGGCAGCAGUGGGGAAUAUUGCACAAUGGGCGAAAGCCUGAUGCAGCAACGCCGCGUGAGCGAUGAAGGCCUUCGGGUCGUAAAGCUCUGUCCUCAAGGAAGAUAAUGACGGUACUUGAGGAGGAAGCCCCGGCUAACUACGUGCCAGCAGCCGCGGUAAUACGUAGGGGGCUAGCGUUAUCCGGAAUUACUGGGCGUAAAGGGUGCGUAGGUGGUUUCUUAAGUCAGAGGUGAAAGGCUACGGCUCAACCGUAGUAAGCCUUUGAAACUGAGAAACUUGAGUGCAGGAGAGGAGAGUAGAAUUCCUAGUGUAGCGGUGAAAUGCGUAGAUAUUAGGAGGAAUACCAGUUGCGAAGGCGGCUCUCUGGACUGUAACUGACACUGAGGCACGAAAGCGUGGGGAGCAAACAGGAUUAGAUACCCUGGUAGUCCACGCCGUAAACGAUGAGUACUAGGUGUCGGGGUUACCCCCCUCGGUGCCGCAGCUAACGCAUUAAGUACUCCCC